UACGGAGGGAGCUAGCGUUGUUCGGAAUUACUGGGCGUAAAGCGCACGUAGGCGGCGAUUCAAGUCAGAGGUGAAAGCCCGGGGCUCAACUCCGGAACUGCCUUUGAAACUAGAUUGCUAGAAUCUUGGAGAGGCGAGUGGAAUUCCGAGUGUAGAGGUGAAAUUCGUAGAUAUUCGGAAGAACACCAGUGGCGAAGGCGACUCGCUGGACAAGUAUUGACGCUGAGGUGCGAAAGCGUGGGGAACAAACAGG
rnacentral:rRNA from 1 species